AUGCCUUAAACUUAUGAGUAAGGAAAGUAAUAAUUUGGGGUGGUGCCCGGAUCCUCACUGCUAACGUGAGACGGAUUUCUGAGUGGAACCA